GCAAACUUGGUCAUUUAGAGGAAGUAAAAGUCGUAACAAGGUUUCCGUAGGUGAACCUGCGGAAGGAUCAUUACCGAGUUUUGACGGGGUUGUAGCUGGCCUUCCGAGGCAUGUGCACGCCCUACUCAUCCACUCUACACCUGUGCACUUACUGUGGGUUUUCGGUUCGCGGAGAGGGUCCCUUUAGUUAGGGCUCAUGAAGCGUCCGUAAGCCUGCGUUUAUUACAAACCCUUUAAAGUAUAAGAAUGUGUAUUGCGCUCUAUAAACGCAUCUAUAUACAACUUUCAGCAACGGAUCUCUUGGCUCUCGCAUCGAUGAAGAACGCAGC
rnacentral:misc_RNA from 1 species